AGUGAACGCUGGCGGUAGGCCUAACACAUGCAAGUCGAACGGCAGCACAGUAAGAGCUUGCUCUUACGGUUGGCGAGUGGCGGACGGGUGAGGAAUACAUCGGAAUCUACUUUUUCUUGGGGGAUAACGUAGGUAAACUUACGCUAAUACCGCAUACGACCUACGGGUGAAAUCAGGGGAUCUUCGGACCUUGCGCGAUUGUAUGAGCCGAUGUCGGAUUAGCUAGUUGGCGGGGUAAAGGCCCACCAAGGCAACGAUCCGUAGCUGGUCUGAGAGGAUGAUCAGCCACACUGGAACUGAGACACGGUCCAGACUCCUACGGGAGGCAGCAGUGGGGAAUAUUGGACAAAGGGCGCAAGCCUGAUCCAGCCAUACCGCGUGGGUGAAGAAGGACUUCGGGUUGUAAAGCCCUUUUGUUGGGAAAGAAAAGCAGCAGGUUAAUACCCCGCUGUUCUGACGGUACCAAAAGAAUAAGCACCGGCUAACUUCGUG
rnacentral:rRNA from 1 species